rnacentral:rRNA from 1 species
UGAUGACGAGACGCUAAGGCGUUGAAGCAGUGUAUGUCAGACUUCCAAGAAAAGCUCGCAAUGUCACAAAUAAAUAACGCCUGAACCAUAACCGACACAGGUGGGUAGGUAGAGUAUACUAAGGGGCGCGAGAUAACUCUCUCUAAGGAACUCGGCAAAAUGACUCCGUAACUUCGGGAGAAGGAGUGCCUUAUUUAUAAGGUUGCAAUAACAAGAUCCAAGCAACUGUUUAUCAAAAACACAGGUCUCCGCUAAGUCGUAAGACGAUGUAUGGGGGCUGACGCCUGCCCAGUGCCAGAAGGUUAAAGAAGUUGGUUAGUGUAUGCGAAGCUGAUGACUGAAGCCCUGGUGAACGGCGGCCGUAACUAUAACGGUCCUAAGGUAGCGAAAUUCCUUGUCGGGUAAGUUCCGACCCGCACGAAAGGCGUAAUGAUUUGGAUACUGUCUCGGAGAGAGGCUCGGUGAAAUAGACUUGUCUGUGAAGAUGCGGACUACCUGCACCAGGACAGAAAGACCCUAUGAAGCUUUACUGUAACUUGAAAUUGGAAUUGGACUUUGCUUGCGCAGUAUAGGUGGGAAGCGUUGAAAAUAUUCUUGCGGGAGUAUUGGAGCUAUCAGUGAGAUACCACUCUUGUAAUGUUAGAUUUCUAACUUUGAACCAUAAUCUGGUCAAAGAACAGUUUCAGGUGGGCAGUUUGACUGGGGCGGUCGCCUCCCAAAUGGAACGGAGGCGUACAAAGGUUUCCUCUGAACGGAUAGAAAUCGUAUCUAGAGUGUAAAGGCAUAAGGAAGCUUGACUGUGGGACCUACAAGUCGAGCAGGGACGAAAGUCGGUCUUAGUGAUCUGACGGUACUGAGUGGAAAGGCCGUCACUCAACGGAUAAAAGUUACUCCAGGGAUAACAGGCUGAUCUCCCCCAAGAGUUCACAUCGACGGGGAGGUUUGGCACCUCGAUGUCGGCUCAUCGCAUCCUGGGGCGGUAGUACGUCCCAAGGGUUGGGCUGUUCGCCCAUGAAAGCGGUACGCGAGCUGGGUUCAGAACGUCGUGAGACAGUUCGGUCCAUAUCCGGUGUAGGCGCUAGAAUAUUGAGAGGAGCCUUCUUUAGUACGAGAGGACCGAGAAGGACACACCGCUGGUGUACCAGUUAUCGUGCCAACGGUAAACGCUGGGUAGCUAUGUGUGGAGUGGAUAACCGCUGAAAGCAUCUAAGUGGGAAGCCCACCUCGAGAUGAGUAUUCUCA